rnacentral:rRNA from 1 species
GACGUAGGUUGCGAGCGUUAUUCGGAUUCACUAGGCGUAAAGCGUGUGUAGGCGGAUGCCUAAGUCUGACGUGAAAUCUCCCGGCUUAACUGGGAGGGGUCGUUAGAUACUGGGCGUCUUGAGUUGGGUAGGGGGAACCGGAAUUCCAGGUGUAGCGGUGAAAUGCGCAGAUAUCUGGAGGAACGCCGGCGGCGAAGGCGGGUUCCUGGGCCUUAACUGACGCUGAGACACGAAAGCUAGGGGAGCAAACAGG